UGUCAUUAAAAAUUAAAGAACUUUUAUAAUAGUAAAAGCCAUUAAUCAACUCAUGGAGUCUCUUUAUUUAACUGACAAUUGUUUUGUUUUGGGGGUAAUUUUGUUUUUAUUUGUUACUAGUGAAUGUUUCAAUUCUAAUUUGUUUGAUAUAAGCGCGACAGGGUGUCGUUAGACGACACCUGUGUUGAUCAAAGGUGAAAUCCAAGGAAAUGAUGUGUUUUUGCGAAAUUGAAAGAAAUUGUUAAUAGGUUGGGGUCUUUUUAUAUCCCCAAAAAGUUCCAUUUCCGAGGGAUAGAAAAAUUAGUUUUUUGUGGUCGAUUUCACGCGUUAACUACUCAAUCGAUCAACAUGAAGUUUUGUAGACAGACUGUUAGGGCUACAGAAAAGAACAUAGAGUACCUUUUAUCCAGAAAGAAUACUGUUCCCGAGGGAUAGAAAAAAAUUAUUCUUAUGUAGUCGUCGACGAUCAUCGUCACAUAUUUAGGAUAUCAACGCGAGCGAAAAGCCUCGGGAAAAAUCUAAUGGUAUUAUACAAUAUUAGUAGAUUACAAUUAAAGGACGAAAUUAGCGUCAUUUUAAAGAUAAAGUCAUAUAAAAAUUUUGAUACAAAUUACACUUCAUCAGCAUGAUGUGAUGCAUUAAAGUUUAACAUUAUUUUAAAGCAGAUAAGAAUACUAAGGAGGGGAUAUCUAAAAUUCGUUCUUCUAAAGAUUCAGACUGUAACUAGUGUUACCAAGCAUCCCGUAUUUACCGGGAAGUCCCGUAUUUCAGGCAUAACUUAAAACGUCCCGUCGAGACUGACUCUGACCCGUAUUUAAACCUUAAUUUAACUAUUACGAAAUCUAUCGCACUACGCUUGAUAUUGAUGCAAUAUUAUUAACAAGUACACUCUGGCAUGUCGAGUCGAUCUGUGACGUACUUGGCAUCCUUGAGAAUGUAAUGUUUUUAAUGGAAAAUAAUAAAAAAGAUUGAAGUAGAUUCAAUUCAAGUUAAUUAUCAUUAACAAUAAAAUAAUGACAAAUCUGGUGAAUAAUAUCAAAUUGCUCCAACAAAUUUCGAUUAAAACAAUAAAUGUACAUGGAGAAGGUAAAAAGGGUUGGAAACGUGAAUUAGCAGAGCCCCAUUCGCUUCCUUCUAUUGGGCGUGGAAAGAAGCCAUUUGUGGAAAUGAUAAGAUAUCAUUAAUUCUUUGAUCAAAUUAUAUUUAUAAAUUGAUUUGUGAUUUUCAUAAUCUUUUAUUGCAUUUGUUUUUUUUUUUAUAAUAAUUACUAUUUUAACACUUUCUAAUUUUUCACACUUCUGAACUGUAGUAGCUAUCUAUUGAGUUUCAUAGUCAAUUAUUUGCUUGGUGGAUGUCUUAAUAUAAUAAAACAUAAUAUAAAGCUAACGUUAAAUUAUUUCAACAGGAUGUCAUUUAGGUGGAUCAGUUUCUAAUAAUUUGCUAAUUAAACUGCAUUAGUAUAACUGAAGGCACCUAUAAAAUGUAUUAUGUAUCUAUCAUAGGUAUAGAAAGAAUUUUCAUCUAUAGGUCUCCCGGCUCGUUUGUCGCUUCAUCUUGUCAUUCAAUCGUAUUCAAUUGUGUUCGGUCCUCGAGAAGGAGAUGUACCACCAUUUUUGCCGUCCAUAAAUGGAAACGACGCCUGAAAGUAUUUAGCCCUAAUCCUUAUUCGAUUUUCAUUUGAUUUAUUGUGUGGAAUGCGUUUCGGUUUAGUGAUUGAUUGAUUUCAAUUAUAUUUUAAUUAUAAUUAUAUUUUGUCAUGAAAAACUUGGGUGGCGCGUUCGUUUCGUGCUCUAUUAUCGAGUGUGUCGUGGCAUCUUGCCUGUACUUAUCUAAUGUGAAUUUUAUAAAUUCUUAGUUUAUUGGAGUUUGAAUAGUUAGGGUUUUGUUAGAAUUUUUAAAUUUUGAAUACACGUUUAGGCGAUGAUUCUAGAUUUUUCAUAUCGAUGUGACCACGCCACGAAGAUUGCUUUCAUUUUAUAGCCAAAAUGUGUAAAAUAUUUCUUAACUAUUAUUAUUAUUCUGCUUUUAAAAUUCCAAAUUUCCAUUAAACAUUUUUUAACUUUUACCUUGUUAUUCUAUAGAUUAGGUUUUAACGACUUUCUUUUUCAGUAAUAUAGACUUGCUUUGAUAUUACAUCCUUGGAUUCGAUGGACAAACACUACUUACAGAUUUGUGGCAAUCAGACAGACAUCAGACAUUUUUAUUUCCAAGAAUGCCCUUAAUGAGCUGGUCAAAAAAUUCAUAGGGUACGGGGUGCUAACAAUGGUUUCCAUUAAAUCAUAAUAAAUGUACAGGGAGAGGGUAAAUCAAAUGGCCACGAAACGUGAGGAAGCAGAACCCCAAUCACGCUCCUUUUUCUUGAUCUUGGAAACGGAUGUAUUUAAACGUAUUAAAUGAACAAGGAGACAGAAAAUAAAAAGGAUUCAAAACUUGGAGAAGUGGAGCCCCUUUAAUUUUUCCUCCCCUUGGACGUGAAGGUGCAAUUUCCAGAAAAUAUAUGCUGUGCGAUGUGUCUACUAUUACUAGGCAAUUCUCUUUUGUCAGCACUUAGGAAUAAAACUCGAGCACCGUAUAGUGAUCCUCAAGGUGAGCUAUUGUUUUCCUUCCUCAGUUUUCAUAGUAAUUUGCCACCUGUAACAUCUAUGGUUUUACUUCUAACAGUUAUCUAUUGUCCACUGUAUAAAUUGACGUCGUGCAUCUACGAUUAUUUCUAUCUGUGACAUGGAUAUAGUUGACAUCUCGUCGCCAUUUUAUAAUUUAGGUGUUUUACUU